CUUUAGAAAGGACACUGAGGUGCUGGAGCAUGGCCAAAGAAGGGUAACAAGGCUUGUGAAAGGUUAUCCUUCUCCUAAUAUUCAGCAUGAUUCUGAAAUCUGAUCUGCUGGUAAUAAACAUCUUGAUUCCAUUUCCAAGAUUACACCCUUAUUUAAAGGUCAUCUAAAGUAAAAACUCAUUAAAAGAAA